rnacentral:lncRNA from 1 species
CAGGCAUUCAAUGCAGGGAAUACACAGUGUGACAGUAUACAAAAAUAAGCAGGUUGAUGGUUUAGAUUUAUGAGACAAGAGAAAGAAAUAGAUGAUGCCAUAAUUCUCCUUUUAUGGAGUUAUGAAAAUUGUUCAUUUUAUAUAAGGUCAGGUGCUUUCAAAUGUCAAUGAGAAAAAUAUUUAAAGGAAGAAUCAAAUCUAAGACGUGGAGAGAUCUUUAUAAAAAUGACCUUCAGGCCAGGCACGGUGGCUCACACCUGUAAUCCCAACACUUUGGGAGGCCAAGGUGGGUGGAUCACAAGGUCGGGGGAUCGAGACCAUCCUGGCCAACAUGGUAAAACCCCGUCUCUACUAAAACACAAAAAAUUAGCCGGGAGUGGUGGUGUGUGCCUGUAGUCCCAGCUACUUGGGAGGCUGAGGCAGGAGAACUGCUUGAAGCCGGGAGGCAGAGGUUGCAGUGAGCUGAGAGCACCACUGCACUCCAGCCUGGCAACAGAGCAAGACUCCAUCUCAAAAAAAAAGAAAAAAAAAAAAUUACCUUCAUUCUGAGAAGGUAUAAUCAUCAACACAUUCUUGAGCACAACUAUGCACAUACACACUUCCAAAUUCACAAACCAUGCUUGUGCACACACUGAUGUCUCUAGAUUCCUUUUUUGAAGAGAUGGCAACUUGGUGUGUCACCCAGGCUGGAGAGCAGUGUUAGGAUCAUAGCUCACUGCAGCCUCAAACUACUGGGGUCACGUGAUCCUCCUACAUCAGGCUCCUCAGUAGCCUGAACUAUAGGAAUGAGCCACCAUGCCCAGCCAAUGUUUUCAUUUUUUUGUAGAGAUGAAAUCUUGCUAUAUUGCCCAGGCUGGUCUUGAACUCCUAGCCCCAAGGAAUCCUCCUGCCUUGCCCUCCAAACGUGCUGAGAUUACAGGUGUGAACCAUUGUGCCCAGCAACUGGAUUCUUUAUUAAGAAGAAAAUUUGUUUGCUGACAUGUAGGCAAUGAAUUGAUAAAUAAUAGUUCAGAAAUUACUAAUUUACAAGUCAAUAUAAAUGAGGUGAGUAAACACAAAAAUAACAGCAUAAAUAAAC